UGUUGGUGAUAUCUGGUGAAGGUCUGCGUGCUGUGCUGUUAAAUGUAUAUGUAUAAUUAUCAUUGGAGUGUAGGGGAGUUUGUGAAACCGUGUGUGUGAUUGAAAGCAGCGGCUGGGUUUACACCCACCAUCUUUAAAAUAUAUACAUAGUUUUUGUUUCAACUGUUUGUUUUGGCCUAUUUGUUUUUGUGUUCAUGUUUUGUUAUAUUAAAUCCAAGUAAACAUAGGGGCGGGUGUAUCCCAUCACACAGCCAUUAAGAUGCUUUGAAGUAAAGCAGUAACAGACUUCCUGGAAUGCAAGUUGUUGGAACAGCUUGAUCAGCCACGCCAGGCUGGCGUAGAGGUGUUGUGUGUCAAGGAGCUUGGGGGAAGAGCAGGCCAGCAGACAUGUGACAAAGUACUGGCAAAGUGAAGCGUGAAGUUCCCAAAGCAGCAGUGAAGACGGCUAACUAAUCUGGGAGCUAUCGCUUAAAGCCAGCACCCACCCCAGAUCACUCUACACCAUUACUGUCAUGAAUAAACUGUAAGGAAUCACCACUUGCACUUGGAGCACUCACUGCUGGACUUGUGAUCAUGUGUGUUUAAAAGUGUGUGUCUACUUCUAUUAUUAUUUCGGGACUGAACCCUGUGUCAGAGCCAGGUAUUAUUAUUUAUCAGCAAAUAAAGAGCUGCUUUUUCACUGUAAACUGUCUUGUGUCUAUCAUUACUGAGAACCGCAUCACCACUGCAAUUUUACAUUGGCAAGAUCUUUAGUUUAACAGGGAACUCCGCAUUGAAAAUGCAAUGCAUGCCAUGUUGAAACUGAAUACUUUUUACUUGGCUAAAUAUACUUUUGUUUAGUUUGCUUUUUGUAAAGGGAGUGAGCGUCAUUUUAAGGACAUAUACUUCACUAAUUGCAUGUGAAUAAUAAACCAUCAGCUUCCUGAGAGGGUGUGUGGCUCAUUAGGAUGUUGUUUGAACAGAUUAAUUGUAGCAACAAUAUAAGGCUGUCCUCUGAAGAUUAUGCUUUUAAUAUUGUCAUCAAGAUUAAAUGUUGCCAUGAAUUAUCAUUGUAGAACAUCUUGCUUGGCCAUUAAUCAAUUAUUGGCUAAUGAUGUUAAGA